rnacentral:rRNA from 1 species
GACGAACGCUGGCGGCGUGCUUAACACAUGCAAGUCGAACGGAAAGGCCCUGCUUUUGUGGGGUGCUCGAGUGGCGAACGGGUGAGUAACACGUGAGUAACCUGCCCUUGACUUUGGGAUAACUUCAGGAAACUGGGGCUAAUACCGGAUAGGAGCUCCUGCUGCAUGGUGGGGGUUGGAAAGUUUCGGCGGUUGGGGAUGGACUCGCGGCUUAUCAGCUUGUUGGUGGGGUAGUGGCUUACCAAGGCUUUGACGGGUAGCCGGCCUGAGAGGGUGACCGGCCACAUUGGGACUGAGAUACGGCCCGGACUCCUACGGGAGGCAGCAGUGGGGAAUAUUGCACAAUGGGCGGAAGCCUGAUGCAGCAAGGCCGCGUGCGGGAUGACGGCCUUCGGGUUGUAAACCGCUUUCGCCUGUGACGAAGCGUGAGUGACGGUAAUGGGUAAAGAAGCACCGGCUAACUACGUG